GCCUAGCUGUAAACUUAAAUAGAAAUAUACUCACUAUUCGCCAGAAUACUACAAGCAAAACGCUUAAAACUCAAAGGACUUGGCGGUGUCCCAUACCAUCCUAGAGGAGCCUGUCCUAUAAUCGAUACUCCACGUUAUACCUCACCAUCUUUGGUUACUCCAGCCUAUAUACCGCCGUCGCCAGCCUACCCCAUGAGGGCCCUACAGUAGGCAAAAACGCCUAACACAAAAACGUCAGGUCAAGGUGUAGCUUAUAAGAUGGAAGAGAUGGGCUACAUUUUCUAAACUAGAAAAUACGAACAGUGCAAUGAAACCAAGCACUAUGAAGGAGGAUUUAGCAGUAAAAUAACAAAGAAAGACUAUUUUAAACAAGCUCUGGGACGCGC
rnacentral:rRNA from 1 species